AUUCAUUAUGUGCCUUCUGUGCAUUUUCUCAUAGUCUAUACAUAGAUUUCUAUAGUUUAGCUGAUAUUGGUUCCUAUUUUGAAACAAUUUUUUAUCCAAGUUUUCUUGGAUUAAACCUUUGCCAUAUUUUUAGAAAUAAAGCUUUCUUGAAGAUUCUCUCUUUUUUUUAGAAAAAUAUGUAAUUUCAAAUCAAUUCGCAUAUUAAAGUUUCAUUUCAAAAGGCAUCUUUAGAUGCUUCUUCCAAUCUGUACAUGAUGAUCCUUAGCCUUGUCAAAACUUAUAUGAAGUCCUGUUUCUAGUGAUUGUCCAUCACAUUUACUUGUCAUGCUAUCAAAUUAUGCACCAGUUCUUUUCAUGGCCGUUCCUUAUUUUCGUUUUUCUUUUGCUCAUAUUCCAGUGCUUACGCCAAGUCACUGAGGCCAGAGAAGACAGACGGUUCCAGCUGCAUACGGUUUCUUUCGUGCAUCUAUAUUGGCUGCCCGGAAGAGUUAUCAGGGGCCGGUUGUCUUUCAGCAAGUGGUAGACAAGCACAAUUAUUUUAGUUAUUGGGGCAUACAUAUUAUACUGCUGUAGACUUUGGAAGUUCCUAUUUUUUCUAAAUUUGUUUCUUUUUAAUUUUGUUUUCCCAUUAUCCCCUCAGACUAUCUUGCGGCGUUGUGAAUUGUAGAUACAUAGUAGUGAUAGUAGAAUUUACCCAUCAUAUAUAGUAUGCAGAAUUUUGUACACUUAUAUAUGAAUUGAUAUCCUGACCACAUUAUUGUACA